GACGAACGCUGGCGGCGUGCUUAACACAUGCAAGUCGAACGGUAAGGCCCUUCGGGGUACACGAGUGGCGAACGGGUGAGUAACACGUGGGUGAUCUGCCCUGCACUUCGGGAUAAGCCUGGGAAACUGGGUCUAAUACCGGAUAGGACCUACGCCUGCAUGGGUGGUGGUGGAAAGCUUCUGCGGUGUGGGAUGGGCCCGCAGCCUAUCAGCUUGUUGGUGGGGUGAUGGCCUACCAAGGCGACGACGGGUAGCCGGCCUGAGAGGGUGACCGGCCACACUGGGACUGAGAUACGGCCCAGACUCCUACGGGAGGCAGCAGUGGGGAAUAUUGCACAAUGGGCGCAAGCCUGAUGCAGCGACGCCGCGUGAGGGAUGACGGCCUUCGGGUUGUAAACCUCUUUCAGCACCGACGAAGCGCAAGUGACGGUAGGUGCAGAAGAAGGACCGGCCAACUACGUGCCAGCCGCCGCCGUAA
rnacentral:rRNA from 1 species